AUGUGACGCCGGGCCCCUCUGACGGUCAUUCGACCGCCAUGUCGGAGUCACUUC
rfam:Pseudomonas putida CSV86 contig00116, whole genome shotgun sequence.